rnacentral:rRNA from 1 species
GAUGCUUAACAGCUAGCCCCCUCUCUCAACAACAACAACCCAAUAUCAAUAACCCCUAAUUCACGAAUAACUUCUAAACAAACCAUUUUUCCCCCUAAGUAUGGGCGACAGAAAAGGACCUCCGGAGCAAUAGAGAAAGUACCGCAAGGGAACGCUGAAAGAGAAGUGAAACAACCCAGUAAAGCUUAAAAAAGCAGAGACUAACCCUCGUACCUUUUGCAUCAUGAUUUAGCUAGUGUUGACCAAGCAAAAUGAAUUUUAGUUUGACAUCCCGAAACUAAGUGAGCUACUCCAAGGCAGCCUAAUUAAUAGGGCCAACCCGUCUCUGUGGCAAAAGAGUGGGAAGAACUUCGAGUAGAGGUGACAGACCUACCGAACCUAGUUAUAGCUGGUUGCCUGGGAAUUGAAUAGAAGUUCAGCCUCCCGGCUUCUUUGUUCACUACAGAAUUAACCCUUUCCUGAUAAACCUUAAAGAAACCGCGAGAGUUAGUCGAAGGGGGUACAGCCCCUUUGAAAUAAGACACAACUUUUAUAGGAGGUUAAAGAUCAUA